rnacentral:rRNA from 1 species
CAGUAGUGUAUACUAAUGUUGCUGCAGUUAAAACGCUCGUAGUUGAAAUUCGUCGUGGUCAGGCCGCUGUUGACAAAUGUCACGGUGGCCAUGAACAUGCCUCCUUUGGGAAUGCUCCGGGUGUCCUUGAUUGGGCGUCCGGGUGCGCCCGAACGUUUACUGUGAGAAAAUCAAAGUGUUCAAAGCAGGCGCACCGCCUUGAAUACUCCAGCAUGGAAUAAUGAAACAGGACGUCGGUUCCGUUUUGUUGGUUUCAAGAAUCGAAGUAAUGAUUAAUAGAGACGGGCGGGGGCAUCCGUAUUUCGUUGUCAGAGGUGAAAUUCAUGGAUUUACGAAAGACGAACUAAUGCGAAAGCAUUUGCCAAGUACGUGCUCAUUAA